GAUGAACGCUGGCGGCGUGCCUAAUACAUGCCAGUCGAGCGAACGGACGAGAAGCUUGCUUUUCUGAUGUUAGCGGCGGACGGGUGAGUAACACGUGGAUAACCUACCUAUAAGACUGGGAUAACUUCGGGAAACCGGAGCUAAUACCGGAUAAUAUUUUGAACCGCAUGGUUCAAAGGUGAAAGACGGUCUUGCUGUCACUUAUAGAUGGAUCCGCGCUGCAUUAGCUAGUUGGUAAGGUAACGGCUUACCAAGGCAACGAUGCAUAGCCGACCUGAGAGGGUGAUCGGCUACACUGGAACUGAGACACGGUCCAGACUCCUACGGGAGGCAGCAGUAGGGAAUCUUCCGCAAUGGGCGAAGGCCUGACGGAGCAACGCCGCGUGAGUGAUGAAGGUCUUCGGAUCGUAAAACUCUGUUAUUAGGGAAGAACAUAUGUGUAAGUAACUGUGCACAUCUUGACGGUACCUAAUCAGAAAGCCACGGCUAACUACGUG
rnacentral:rRNA from 1 species